rnacentral:rRNA from 1 species
AUUGAACGCUGGCGGCAUGCUUUACACAUGCAAGUCGAACGGUAACAGGCCGCAAGGUGCUGACGAGUGGCGAACGGGUGAGUAAUGCAUCGGAACGUGCCCAGUCGUGGGGGAUAACGCAGCGAAAGCUGCGCUAAUACCGCAUACGAUCUAUGGAUGAAAGCGGGGGACCGUAAGGCCUCGCGCGAUUGGAGCGGCCGAUGUCAGAUUAGGUAGUUGGUGGGGGAAAGGCUCCCCAAGCCAACGAUCUGUAGCUGGUCUGAGAGGACGACCAGCCAGACUGGGACUGAGACACGGGCCAGACUCCGACGGGAGGCAGCAGUGGGGAAUUUUGGACAAUGGGCGCAAGCCUGAUCCAGCAAUGCCGCGUGCAGGAAGAAGGCCUUCGGGUUGUAAACUGCUUUUGUACGGAACGAAAAGGCUCUGGUUAAUACCUGGGGCUCAUGACGGUACCGUAAGAAUAAGCACCGGCUAACUACGUGCCAGCCGCCGCAGUAAGAC